rnacentral:rRNA from 1 species
GCACGUGUAGCUUGCUCCUCUGACGUUAGCGGCGGACGGGUGAGUAACACGUGGAUAACCUACCUAUAAGACUGGGAUAACUUCGGGAAACCGGAGCUAAUACCGGAUAAUAUAUUGAACCGCAUGGUUCAAUAGUGAAAGACGGUUUUGCUGUCACUUAUAGAUGGAUCCGCGCCGCAUUAGCUAGUUGGUAAGGUAACGGCUUACCAAGGCAACGAUGCGUAGCCGACCUGAGAGGGUGAUCGGCCACACUGGAACUGAGACACGGUCCAGACUCCUACGGGAGGCAGCAGUAGGGAAUCUUCCGCAAUGGGCGAAAGCCUGACGGAGCAACGCCGCGUGAGUGAUGAAGGUCUUCGGAUCGUAAAACUCUGUUAUUAGGGAAGAACAAAUGUGUAAGUAACUAUGCACGUCUUGACGGUACCUAAUCAGAAAGCCACGGCUAACUACGUGCCAGCAGCCGCGGUAAUACGUAGGUGGCAAGCGUUAUCCGGAAUUAUUGGGCGUAAAGCGCGCGUAGGCGGUUUUUUAAGUCUGAUGUGAAAGCCCACGGCUCAACCGUGGAGGGUCAUUGGAAACUGGAAAACUUGAGUGCAGAAGAGGAAAGUGGAAUUCCAUGUGUAGCGGUGAAAUGCGCAGAGAUAUGGAGGAACACCAGUGGCGAAGGCGACUUUCUGGUCUGUAACUGACGCUGAUGUGCGAAAGCGUGGGGAUCAAACAGGAUUAGAUACCCUGGUAGUCCACGCCGUAAACGAUGAGUGCUAAGUGUUAGGGGGUUUCCGCCCCUUAGUGCUGCAGCUAACGCAUUAAGCACUCCGCCUGGGGAGUACGACCGCAAGGUUGAACUCAAAGGAAUUGACGGGGACCCGCACAAGCGGUGGANCAUGUGGUUUAAUUUC